GAAAUAAUGGCUCCCCGUUUGAUCAACCAUAGUAAAGCACCAGAGAG
rnacentral:rRNA from 1 species